AGAGUUUGAUCCUGGCUCAGAUUGAACGCUGGCGGAAUGCUUUACACAUGCAAGUCGAGCGGCAGCGCGGGGCAACCUGGCGGCGAGCGGCGAACGGGUGAGUAAUGCAUCGGAACAUGUCCAUGUCGUGGGGGAUAGCCCGGCGAAAGCCGGAUUAAUACCGCAUAAGCUCGAGAGAGGAAAGCCGGGGACCGCAAGGCCUGGCGCGAUUGGGUUGGCCGAUGUCCGAUUAGCUAGUUGGUGAGGUAAAGGCUUACCAAGGCGAUGAUCGGUAGCUGGUCUGAGAGGAUGAUCAGCCACACUGGGACUGAGACACGGCCCAGACUCCUACGGGAGGCAGCAGUGGGGAAUUUUGGACAAUGGGGGCAACCCUGAUCCAGCCAUUCCGCGUGAGUGAAGAAGGCCUUCGGGUUGUAAAGCUCUUUUGUCCGGAGCGAAACGGUGCUGGUGAAUAUCCAGCGCUACUGACGGUACCGGAAGAAUAAGCACCGGCUAACUACGUGCCAGCAGCCGCGGUAAUACGUAGGGUGCGAGCGUUAAUCGGAAUUACUGGGCGUAAAGCGUGCGCAGGCGGUUUUGCAAGCCAGUCGUGAAAUCCCCGGGCUCAACCUGGGAAUGGCGAUUGGGACUGCAAGGCUUGAGUAUGGCAGAGGAGACUGGAAUUCCUGGUGUAGCAGUGAAAUGCGUAGAUAUCAGGAGGAAUACCGAUGGCGAAGGCAGGUCUCUGGGCUGAUACUGACGCUCAUGCACGAAAGCGUGGGGAGCAAACAGUAUUAGAUACCCUGGUAGUCCACGCCCUAAACGAUGUCGACUGGUUGUUGGGGGUUUGACACCUUCAGUAACGAAGCUAACGCGUGAAGUCGACCGCCUGGGGAGUACGGCCGCAAGGUUAAAACUCAAAGGAAUUGACGGGGACCCGCACAAGCGGUGGAUUAUGUGGAUUAAUUCGAUGCAACGCGAAAAACCUUACCUACCCUUGACAUGUCCUGGAGCCCGGAGAGAUCCGGGUGUGCCCGAAGGGAACGGGAACACAGGUGCUGCAUGGCUGUCGUCAGCUCGUGUCGUGAGAUGUUGGGUUAAGUCCCGCAACGAGCGCAACCCUUGCCAUUAGUUGCUACAUUCAGUUGGGCACUCUAAUGGGACUGCCGGUGACAAACCGGAGGAAGGUGGGGAUGACGUCAAGUCCUCAUGGCCCUUAUGGGUAGGGCUUCACACGUAAUACAAUGGUCGGUACAGAGGGUUGCCAAAGCGCGAGCUGGAGCCAAUCCCAGAAAGCCGAUCGUAGUCCGGAUUGCAGUCUGCAACUCGACUGCAUGAAGUCGGAAUCGCUAGUAAUCGCGGAUCAGCAUGUCGCGGUGAAUACGUUCCCGGGUCUUGUACACACCGCCCGUCACACCAUGGGAGCGGGUUUCACCAGAAGCCGGUAGCCUAACCGCAAGGAAGGCGCCGACCACGGUGAGAUUCGUGACUGGGGUGAAGUCGGAACAAGGUA
rnacentral:rRNA from 1 species